AUUGAACGCUGGCGGCAUGCCUUACACAUGCAAGUCGAACGGCAGCACGGGAGCAAUCCUGGUGGCGAGUGGCGAACGGGUGAGUAAUAUAUCGGAACGUGCCCAGUCGUGGGGGAUAACGCAGCGAAAGCUGUGCUAAUACCGCAUACGAUCCAUGGAUGAAAGCGGGGGACUCGCAAGGGCCUCGCGCGAUUGGAGCGGCCGAUAUCAGAUUAGGUAGUUGGUGUGGUAAAAGCGCACCAAGCCGACGAUCUGUAGCUGGUCUGAGAGGACGACCAGCCACACUGGAACUGAGACACGGUCCAGACUCCUACGGGAGGCAGCAGUGGGGAAUUUUGGACAAUGGGCGCAAGCCUGAUCCAGCAAUGCCGCGUGCAGGAUGAAGGCCUUCGGGUUGUAAACUGCUUUUGUACGGAGCGAAACGGUCUGCUUUAAUACAGUGGGCUAAUGACGGUACCGUAAGAAUAAGCACCGGCUAACUACGUGCC
rnacentral:rRNA from 1 species